rnacentral:rRNA from 1 species
UACGAAGGGUGCAAACGUUGCUCGGAAUUAUUGGGCGUAAAGAGCUCGUAGGCGGUGUGUCGCGUCGGCCGUGAAAGCCUGCAGCUUAACUGUGGGCGUGCGGUCGAUACGGGCAUCACUGGAGUUCGGCAGGGGAGACUGGAAUUCCUGGUGUAGCGGUGAAAUGCGCAGAUAUCGGGAGGAACACCAAUGGCGAAGGCGGUGCUCUGGGCCGGAACUGACGCUGAGGAGCGAAAGCGUGGGGAGCAAACAGG